rnacentral:rRNA from 1 species
ACGGAGGAUGCAAGCGUUAUCCGGAAUCAUUGGGCGUAAAGCGUCCGCAGGUGGUUAAUCAAGUCUGCUGUUAAAGACAGAAGCUCAACUUCUGAUAGGCAGUGGAAACUGGGUAACUAGAGUAUGGUAGGGGUUGAGGGAAUUCCCAGUGUAGCGGUGAAAUGCGUAGAUAUUGGGAAGAACACCAGUGGCGAAGGCGCUCAACUGGGCCAUAACUGACACUCAGGGACGAAAGCUAGGGUAGCGAAAGGGAUUAGAUACCCCUGUAGUCUUAGCUGUAAACGAUGAACACUAGGCGUUGCUUGUAUCGACCCGAGCAGUGCCGUAGCCAACGCGUUAAGUGUUCCGCCUGGGGAGUACGCACGCAAGUGUG